GUUAUAUGGUCAAGUGAAGAAGCGCAUACGGUGGAUGCCUUGGCAGUCAGAGGCGAUGAAAGACGUGGUAGCCUGCGAAAAGCUUCGGGGAGUCGGCAAACAGACUUUGAUCCGGAGAUGUCUGAAUGGGGGAACCCAGCCAUCAUAAGAUGGUUAUCUUGUACUGAAUACAUAGGUGCAAGAGGCGAACCAGGGGAACUGAAACAUCUAAGUACCCUGAGGAAAAGAAAUCAACCGAGAUUCCCUUAGUAGUGGCGAGCGAACGGGGACUAGCCCUUAAGUGGCUUUGAGAUUAGCGGAACGCUCUGGAAAGUGCGGCCAUAGUGGGUGAUAGCCCUGUACGCGAAAAUCUCUUAGUCAUGAAAUCGAGUAGGACGGAGCACGAGAAACUUUGUCUGAAUAUGGGGGGACCAUCCUCCAAGGCUAAAUACUACUGACUGACCGAUAGUGAACUAGUACCGUGAGGGAAAGGCGAAAAGAACCCCGGAGAGGGGAGUGAAAUAGAUCCUGAAACCGUAUGCGUACAAGCAGUGGGAGC
rnacentral:rRNA from 2 species